rnacentral:rRNA from 1 species
UGCCAGCAGCCGCGGUAAUUCCAGCUCCAAUAGCGUAUAUUAAAGUUGUUGCGGUUAAAAAGCUCGUAGUUGGAUCUCGGCGAACAGGGGGCGGUUCGUUAUUUGACGGUACUGCCCCAUUUGUUCGUAUUUUUGCAAGAGGGUUGGGGGUCCCCUUCAUUGGGUGUCUCCGGUCGCUUGCAGGUUUACUUUGAAAAAAUUAGAGUGCUCAAAGCAGGCUUACACGCUUGAAUAUUCGUGCAUGGAAUAAUAGAAUAGGAAGUCGUUUCUAUUUUGUUGGUUUUCGGAAAAUGACUUAAUGAUUAAUAGGGACAAUCGGGGGCAUUAGUAUUCAAACGACAGAGGUGAAAUUCUUGGACCGUUUGAAGACAAACUACUGCGAAAGCAUUUGCCAAGAAUGUUUUCAUUAAUCAAGAACGAAAGUAGAGGUUCGAAGGCGAUUAGAUACCGCCCUAGUUCUAACCAUAAACGAUGCCAGCUAGCGAUCUGCCUGCGUUUUUACUGUAGACUGGGCAGGAAGCUUCCGGGAAACCAAAGCAUUUGGGUUCCAGGGGAAGUAUGGUUGCAAAGCUGAAACUUAAAGGAAUUGACGGAAGGGCACCACCAGGAGUGGAGCCUGUGGCUUAAUUUGACUCAACACGGGAAAUCUCACCAGGCCCGGACACUGGAAGGAUUGACAGAUUGAUAGCUCUUUCUUGAUUCGGUGGGUGGUGGUGCAUGGCCGUUCUUAGUUGGUGGAGUGAUUUGUCUGGUUAAUUCCGAUAACGAACGAGACUCUGUCCUGCUAAAUAGUUUCUACUUCUCUUUUGAGUAGAAAUUUCUUCUUAGAGGGACUGGUGACUCUUAGUCACACGAGAUUGAGCAAUAACAGGUCUGUGAUGC